rnacentral:tRNA from 1 species
ACUAUUUUAGUAUAAAUAAAUAUAUGGAAUUUUCUUUUCCAAGUUUCUCUAAUAUGAAAAUAGUAU